GGAGGCGGGAGGCGGGAGGUGUGGCCUACCAGUGGACCCACCUGCUUCAAUACCCCUACCCAG
rnacentral:miRNA from 1 species